UGUAUAUACGAUAGUGCUAUAUGUAUAUACAGACAAGUGGCUCUGUUCCAUUAUUGGAUAUUGGUAGUAGAAACUAUCCCCAUCGUGCUGUUAUUGUAGUUCCGAUAGUGUCGGGUUAACGUUUUAACAGUUAUUUAAAUUAUGAUUUUGGGUGCCACAGAGAUUGUACUUACUAAAAGGACUUAGUAAGAACCGCAUAUAAUCUCGAAACUUGUGUAGGAUGUUGGUCUAACCACGGCAUAGAAUAUAUGCCUCAACUACUACACGGAAAGGAUGAUGCUCUGGUCGAAACAGAGUUUCUAUAAAUCUUUCAGUAUAGAUUCCGUAUGGCUGAAAGUUGAAACACCAACAUCAAUAGACUAUAGUUUUUGUUAGUGUGGCUAUAGUUUAUUCCGGCAUUGAAAGUAUAUACAGUGAUGCGAGACAGUAAGCAUUAGUAGCAACUGUAUAUAUGAGUAAGAGGAUGCGUUUACAAUGAGGAAUUACCUAUCGGUGCCCGCCUCAGGGAUUGCACUUCCCAACGUACACUAAACUUCGUACCAUACCGAAACAUAAGUUUCUGUUAUUACGAUUUCCUUCCCAAACGGGGAGGAAAUCUUCUCCGCCCGAAUAUCAUAAG
rnacentral:lncRNA from 1 species